GGCGCCGUAGCUCAGUGGUAGAGCGGGCGUUUCAUAAGCGCCAUGUCGGAAGUUCGAUCCUUCCCGGCGCCA
rnacentral:tRNA from 2 species